rnacentral:rRNA from 1 species
UACAGAGGGUGCAAGCGUUAAUCGGAAUUAUUGGGCGUAAAGCGCAUGUAGGUGGCUUGUGAAGUCUGAUGUGAAAGCCCUGGGCUUAACCUGGGAAUUGCGUUGGAAACUGGCAAGCUAGAGUCGGACAGAGGGUCGUGGAAUUUCCGGUGUAGCGGUGAAAUGCGUAGAGAUCGGAAAGAACAUCAGUGGCGAAGGCGUCGACCUGGGUCCAGACUGACACUGAGGUGCGAAAGCAUGGGGAGCAAACAGG